UUUUCUUUCACAAUGGUUUUGCCGAGAUAAAGAACAAAUUAUACUGAUUUGAUUGCUACUUAGAAAUACUUAAAAUUGAAAAAGACAGCAGGUGGGCCUGGUUAGAAAAGAUGGUUAUUUUAGCAUAACAGAUGCAUGCAUAAAACAUCACCCAGCCAAUUUUUUAAUCAUAAGACCCCCCAAACUUUACUACUUUUCCUUGGGUUGUGAGCAAGUGGGGGAAAUAAGUGGGCACAGUUUGAGGGCGCCCUCUUGGCUGAAGGAGCCAGACAUCCCAGAAAAGCCUGGAAAGGAGCAAGGUUUGGGGUGUAAGUUAAGUGCAAGGUCUGGUAGAUUACAGAGCUGGGAAUCAGGGCUGGAUACAUGAGCAACAGGAACCCAGGAGGCAAGGGCCAAGCACACAGUGUUCCAAGCCACAAGAAGCAAUGCUCUGCCCCUUUUAAGUACAAUUUUCUGAUUACUAAAAAAGGGAUGUGCUGGGCUUCCCAGCCUUGCAUUUGUCACUGGGACUUUCUCAGAUGGCAGAAGCCAGCCACACCGCCAAACCAUCCUCUUUGGCUUCCACUGUCUCUGUUUCCAAGAAACACAAAUUUAAGAUUGUGGAAAGAAGAUGUGCCUGUUUGCACUCCAGAUGGGGCCUCAUGGACCUGCAACCUUGCUCCCAGCUCCUGGUGUGUAUCUGCAUUUACUCUGUUGGAAGGUGUAUAAGCCGUCGACUUGCUCAGCUGUUCGUUAAAAAUGAAAGAACUGCUUUAUUCCAGGACGCAGGCCCUGUCAUGGUGGUGGACACUGUACUCAGAGAUGCCUUGCUCAGCUCUGAUUCUCUGGAGCAGGAAUCCUGUCUGUGGCUCAUUGAAGACAGCUGCUCAGGCGGGUCCAGCAAAUGGAAAACAUACGGACGGCAGUAACAGACGGAGAUGCUUUCUGGAACAGAGGACCUUCUGGAGCCUUUAGGGGCAGCUGCAAGCACAUUUAGGGGAUAACAUGGCCUUGCAAAUAAGUACUGAGGACAUAUCAGACCUCUAAAGAGCCGGCUUACCCUAACCCUGGAGGAAUGACAAAAAGGAGUCAAGGAAAGGCAAGUGGGAUUUUUCAACUUUUCCCUGGAAUAAUUUCACCUUCUAGGAAACUUUUCUUCCUUUCUUCCUUGUUUCUCUUAGGUGUAUGUUAUAUACUUGUGGCUGGGGCAGGGAAAUGAGGACUAUGAUCAGAUCUAGCCUCGUAGGUUUUGCAAGAGGCAGUUUUGCAAGGUGGCCCAACCCCUAUUCCCCACAUGUAUAAAGCCUCAACUUAAGGUGGUCCAAGCAGGGAGGCUCAGAGCUGAGGUUUGCACAUCGGUGGAAAGACCAGGUCAGGGUAUUCCAUGGUUUAGAGUGGAUUGGAACUCCCAGUUUCAGUGUGCAGAAGGGGAAAACUCAUAAACCAAACACCCUGAAGAAGAGACAAGCAUCAGAAUUACCGAGACAAGGUGUAAGAAUUAUAGCAUGCCAUGGAGUCAAGGUCAGGAGCCAGAUGAAGGCAGAACCAGGACGGUGUCCAUCUGGGAUGCUGUUUAGGAGUAAUGAAGGGGAUGCCUCUGUCUGACUUCAUCCCUGGAAACUGGAAAGUGGGUGUGGACUGAUUUAAAGGCACGUGGUGGGGCAGUUGUUGAUAUCAGCUUAAAAUGUACACACGAUGCCUCGGAUCGGUCGUGUCUGGCCACUAAGAGUCAAGGCUGUGGCAGUCUGGCUAGCUCCCUCCCACCCUCCACUGUACUGAGAGUCAAUACCAGUUUUAAUUUUAUUCAUGGUGCUUGUACUUGUU
rnacentral:lncRNA from 13 species